rnacentral:rRNA from 1 species
GACGAACGCUGGCGGCGUGCUUAACACAUGCAAGUCGAACGGAAAGGCCCUGCUUUUGUGGGGUGCUCGAGUGGCGAACGGGUGAGUAACACGUGAGUAACCUGCCCUUGACUUUGGGAUAACUUCAGGAAACUGGGGCUAAUACCGGAUAGGAGCUCCUGCUGCAUGGUGGGGGUUGGAAAGUUUCGGCGGUUGGGGAUGGACUCGCGGCUUAUCAGCUUGUUGGUGGGGUAGUGGCUUACCAAGGCUUUGACGGGUAGCCGGCCUGAGAGGGUGACCGGCCACAUGGGGACUGAGAUACGGCCCAGAAUCCUACGGGAGGCAGCAGUGGGGAAUAUUGCACAAUGGGCGGAAGCCUGAUGCAGCAACGCCACGUGCGGGAUGACGGCCUACGGGUUGUAAACCGCUUUCGCCUGUGACGAAGCGUGAGUGACGGUAAUGGGUAAAGAAGCACCGGCUAACUACGUG